CCUACGGGUGGCAGCAGUGGGGAAUAUUGGACAAUGGGCGAAAGCCUGAUCCAGCCAUGCCGCGUGUGUGAAGAAGGCCUUCGGGUUGUAAAGCACUUUCAGUGGGGAAGAAAGCCUUGGGGCUAAUACCCUCGAGGAAGGACAUCACCCACAGAAGAAGCACCGGCUAACUCCGUGCCAGCAGCCGCGGUAAUACGGAGGGUGCGAGCGUUAAUCGGAAUUACUGGGCGUAAAGCGCGCGUAGGCGGUCUGAUAAGCCGGUUGUGAAAGCCCCGGGCUCAACCUGGGAACGGCAUCCGGAACUGUCAGGCUAGAGUGCAGGAGAGGAAGGUAGAAUUCCCGAUGUAGCGGUGAAAUGCGUAGAGAUCGGGAGGAAUACCAGUGGCGAAGGCGGCCUUCUGGACUGACACUGACGCUGAGGUGCGAAAGCGUGGGUAGCAAACAGGAUUAGAUACCCUAGUAGUC
rnacentral:rRNA from 1 species